GAUGAACGCUGGCGGCGUGCCUAAUACAUGCAAGUCGAGCGAACAGACGAGGAGCUUGCUCCUCUGACGUUAGCGGCGGACGGGUGAGUAACACGUGGAUAACCUACCUAUAAGACUGGGAUAACUUCGGGAAACCGGAGCUAAUACCGGAUAAUAUAUUGAACCGCAUGGUUCAAUAGUGAAAGACGGUUUUGCUGUCACUUAUAGAUGGAUCCGCGCCGCAUUAGCUAGUUGGUAAGGUAACGGCUUACCAAGGCAACGAUGCGUAGCCGACCUGAGAGGGUGAUCGGCCACACUGGAACUGAGACACGGUCCAGACUCCUACGGGAGGCAGCAGUAGGGAAUCUUCCGCAAUGGGCGAAAGCCUGACGGAGCAACGCCGCGUGAGUGAUGAAGGGCUUCGGAUCGUAAAACUCUGUUAUUAGGGAAGAACAAAUGUGUAAGUAACUAUGCACGUCUUGACGGUACCUAAUCAGAAAGCCACGGCUAACUACGU
rnacentral:rRNA from 1 species